rnacentral:rRNA from 1 species
UGGGGAAUUUUGGACAAUGGGCGCAAGCCUGAUCCAGCAAUGCCGCGUGCAGGAUGAAGGCCUUCGGGUUGUAAACUGCUUUUGUACGGAGCGAAAAGGUCUGCCCUAAUACGGUGGGCUCAUGACGGUACCGUAAGAAUAAGCACCGGCUAACUACGUGCCAGCAGCCGCGGUAAUACGUAGGGUGCGAGCGUUAAUCGGAAUUACUGGGCGUAAAGCGUGCGUAGGUGGUGGUUUAAGUCUGCUGUGAAAGCCCUGGGCUCAACCUGGGAAUUGCAGUGGAUACUGGAUCACUAGAGUGUGGUAGAGGGAUGCGGAAUUUCUGGUGUAGCAGUGAAAUGCGUAGAUAUGCGGAGGAACACCGAUGGCGAAGGCAAUCCCCUGGACCUGUACUGACGCUCAUGCACGAAAGCGUGGGGAGCAAACA